rnacentral:rRNA from 1 species
UAGGGAAUUUUUCACAAUGAGCGAAAGCUUGAUGGAGCAAUGCCGCGUGAACGAUGAAGGUCUUUAAGAUUGUAAAGUUCUUUUAUUUGGGAAGAAUGACUUUAGCAGGUAAUGGCUAGAGUUUGACUGUACCAUUUUGAAUAAGUGACGACUAACUAUGUGCCGGCAGUCGCGGUAAUACAUAGGUCGCAAGCGUUAUCCGGAUUUAUUGGGCGUAAAGCAAGCGCAGGCGGAUUGAAAAGUCUGGUGUUAAAGGCAGCUGCUUAACAGUUGUAUGCAUUGGAAACUAUUAAUCUAGAGUGUGGUAGGGAGUUUUGGAAUUUCAUGUGGAGCGGUGAAAUGCGUAGAUAUAUGAAGGAACACCAGUGGCGAAGGCGAAAACUUAGGCCAUUACUGACGCUUAGGCUUGAAAGUGUGGGGAGCAAAUAGGAUUAGAUACCCUAGUAGUCCACACCGUAACGAUAGAUACUAGCUGUCGGGGCGAUCCCCUCGGUAGUGAAGUUAACACAUUAAGUAUCUCGCCUGGGUAGUACAUUCGCAAGAAU